rnacentral:rRNA from 1 species
UGGCGGCGUGCUUAACACAUGCAAGUCGAACGGAUUGGCCCUGCUUUUGUGGGGUGCUCGAGUGGCGAACGGGUGAGUAACACGUGAGUAACCUGCCCUUGACUUUGGGAUAACUUCAGGAAACUGGGGCUAAUACCGGAUAGGAGCUCCUGCUGCAUGGUGGGGGUUGGAAAGUUUCGGCGGUUGGGGAUGGACUCGCGGCUUAUCAGCUUGUUGGUGGGGUAGUGGCUUACCAAGGCUUUGACGGGUAGCCGGCCUGAGAGGGUGACCGGCCACAUUGGGACUGAGAUACAGCCCAGACUCCUACGGGAGGCAGCAGUGGGGAAUAUUGCACAAUGGGCGGAAGCCUGAUGCAGCAACGCCGCGUGCGGGAUGACGGCCUUCGGGUUGUAAACCGCUUUCGCCUGUGACGAAGCGUGAGUGACGGUAAUGGGUAAAGAAGCACCGGCUAACUACGUGCCAGCAGCCGCGGUGAUACGUAGGGUGCGAGCGUUGUCCGGAUUUAUUGGGCGUAAAGGGCUCGUAGGUGGUUGAUCGCGUCGGAAGUGUAAUCUUGGGGCUUAACCCUGAGCGUGCUUUCGAUACGGGUUGACUUGAGGAAGGUAGGGGAGAAUGGAAUUCCUGGUGGAGCGGUGGAAUGCGCAGAUAUCAGGAGGAACACCAGUGGCGAAGGCGGUUCUCUGGGCCUUUCCUGACGCUGAGGAGCGAAAGCGUGGGGAGCGAACAGGCUUAGAUACCCUGGUAGUCCACGCUGUAAACGGUGGGUACUAGGUGUGGGGUCCAUUCCACGGGUUCCGUGCCGUAGCUAACGCUUUAAGUACCCCGCCUGGGGAGUACGGCCGCAAGGCUAAAACCCAAAGGAAUUGACGGGGCCCCGCACAAGCGGCGGAGCAUGCGGAUUAAUUCGAUGCAACGCGUAGAACCUUACCUGGGUUUGACAUGGAUCGGGAGUGCUCAGAGAUGGGUGUGCCUCUUUUGGGGUCGGUUCACAGGUGGUGCAUGGCUGUCGUCAGCUCGUGUCGUGAGAUGUUGGGUUAAGUCCCGCAACGAGCGCAACCCUUGUUCACUGUUGCCAGCACGUUAUGGUGGGGACUCAGUGGAGACCGCCGGGGUCAACUCGGAGGAAGGUGGGGAUGACGUCAAGUCAUCAUGCCCCUUAUGUCCAGGGCUUCACGCAUGCUACAAUGGCUGGUACAGAGAGUGGCGAGCCUGUGAGGGUGAGCGAAUCUCGGAAAGCCGGUCUCAGUUCGGAUUGGGGUCUGCAACUCGACCUCAUGAAGUCGGAGUCGCUAGUAAUCGCAGAUCAGCAACGCUGCGGUGAAUACGUUCCCGGGGCUUGUACACACCGCCCGUCAAGUCAUGAAAGUUGGUAACACCCGAAGCCAAUGGCCUAACCGUUGUGGGGGAGCCGUCGAAGGGGGA